AAAAAAAAAAAAAAAAAAAAGAUAGACUAUGAAAUAUCUACCUUGUGCAGUCUCUUCUUAACAUGUUGGGUGAUUUUGCCUUCAUUUCUCAAGUAUCCAUAAUAGUAGGAGAGUUUAUAUUUUACAUUUAAAUAAUAGUGAGUAGAAUAUAGAGGAAAUGAAGUAAUUAUUGCAAUUCAUUCUCCUAAAUGAAAUGUGUUGUUUGAAUGAAUGUAGGCUUAGAUCUCAAUUCCUGGGCUCGCCACUUUUUCUCUCUUUCUCUAGGGAUGUUAAGAAAUGUAAAAUAAAUCAUUUAAUUAAAAAUCUUGAGGGUGGAAAUAUAAGGGCAGUGUGUGGAUUUUGGUUAGAAUGUCUGUUGUUGUUAAGGCAGGUUGGCUACGUUGUAAAAGGCCAUAGGUGUGCGUUUUGACAUCUUCAGGUGGAAAUGUUUUAAGAAUUUGAGAAGUGCUCAUAAAGGCAAAAGGGGAAAAGUUACGAAGAUUUUAAGGAGAAAAUCAGUGCCUUUAGGUACGUGAUGGGAAACUAGGCAGUCUCUGGCACAAGCAUCACUGUAUCUAUUGAGUGCUGACUGAGUUACCUUAGAUUUCAACAGAAGGGAACAUUAUACCAGACAAGAAUUUAUCUUGGGACAGUUAGUAUGCCUUUACCCUAGGCAAUUGUAAACAUUUAGUGUUAUGAGAUUUAGUUAAUAAAAUAUUAAGAUGACGAUGUCUGAAAUUAUCAUCAUCAUCAUUAUGGCAUUUAAUUUUUUUCUUUAUAGUUUACACAGUGAUUCACAGCAUUGAAAAUAAUUUAAAGAAAUCUCCUCACAUCCUUUACAGUUUAGAUGGAAAUUGAGGCUCAGGGAUCCUCACUACCUUCUCCAAAGACACAUGUUAAACUCAGGACCACUGAGAAUAAGUUUUAAGCUCAUUUCCUCUAUAACAAUGAUUGCAGGCAAAGGACAUCCAACAGAGAGGCCUUGGGAAAUGAGCCAGAGGCUCUGAAUGAGCGUUGGAGGAAUGGACGAGGAGGGACAGAUCAGUCCAGUGACCUGAGGAAAGUCCUGAAGCUUUUGGCUUUCCAACCAUCUUUCCAACAUACAGAAAUUGUAGCUAAGGAUAAAGGGGAUGAAGAGAAUUAUUGGCCAGGAGGGAAAGAUAAAUUAGUUGUUUUUGUUAUUUGUUAAGAGAUCCAGAGGCAACUUUACAGUUAUAUAUUCAUCUCCACUUUGGGAAACUUAAUUACUUUCAUGAAAACUGUCCAUUUUCACUUUACUUUUCAAAAUCCCUUUAAAAAUUAUACUAAGUAUGCCUGAGAGUUGCUGAAAUUGCUUUCUACCUGUGCAAAUUUUUUGGAAAGGCUGUUUUCUUUUUAAAUGUAUGCUACUUAAUUACAUGCAAUUUAAAGUUAACCUUUUUAGGAAGUUAACACAGUGCGAUCGGUAGUUUGAUUAAUGACAUAUUGGUAAGAGGUAGUAUUUUUUUUUUUCAUGAAAGUGCUCAAUUUGAGAGAUGACUUCUUGCAAAUAGACUCAUCUACAGAUGAAAGUCAGACCCCUAUAUUCUACCAAGACCUCAGACCCCUAUAUUCUACCGAGAGCCAUUCUUAUUGUGGUCACUUUAAGCAUUUUGCAUUGGUUUACCAGGAAAAUGCUCUUUUCCUAUGCUAGUUUACUGUACAUUUGACCCUUGAACAGCACAGGUUUGAAUUGCACUGGUCCAAUACGUGUUUUUUUUUCAGCAGUAGCUAGGAAGGAACCAUGGAUACAGAAGACUUACUAUAAAUUAUGCACAGAUUUUUGACUGCUGGGAGGGUCAACGCCUUUAAUCCCUGUGUUGUUCGAGGGUCAUCUGUAAUUAUACCUAUCAAAUUUUACGUUUUAUAUAUAUAAAUACAAUAUUCAUUUUAUAAAAAUCAAGUUGUAGUACUACAUUUUCUUCUGUUAAAUAUGUAAAUUUUACUUCAUUUUAAUGUUGAAACUAACUAUAUCAAGGAAACAAAUGAUAAUAGUUUAAUUAAAAUGUGAAGAAAGCCGUUUGAGAUAAGAAAGAUUGAAAUUGUUUUAAAAGUUUAAUUCAAAAAUAAACAGAAUAAAUGAAAAAUACAUAUUGUUUUAGGGUUUAUUAAUAUGGUUUAAAAUACGUGGACAAGAAGUGGCUGUGUAGCUGGUGUUUGGCAUUGUAACAUUAAUAUAUGUUCUUGUAUGGUUUUAGUUUCAAAACUGAAAAAGUAUGGAUUUUUUUAAAUGAAAAGUAAGAAACUACCAUUAAAUAUUUUAAAUGUUCUCUUUACACAACAAAAUAUAGGUAAUUGAUAACUAAAUCAUUGAUAUUUUAAAAUCUAAUGACAAUUUUCAUUGAUAUUUAGUGUAUAUGUACAUAUUUUUCAAACUGACUCAGUCUCAAUUGAAUAACUGAAUAGGACAUUCUCAAAAUAUAAGUGUGAUCUUUUACAUUAGAGGAAAAUAGAAUUUGAGAUUCAGAUCUAUUAUUCUGUAAAAUAUAUUAAAAAUUUGCAAAACCAGAAGUCUCAGUCAGAUUUUUUCUCUUUCCCUCAUAUUUAGCAGGUUUACCAGCAAUUACUGUGGCAGCUAAGGAUAUAAAAGCUAUACUUAGGCACAGUGGAAAAGAAUAUUGUGACCACUUAAUAAUGUCUGCAUGGGUGUGGUGGGUUGAAUUACUGUUUAGCAAUAUUCUUUCCCUCCAUUUAGUUUCCAUAUGAGGAAUAUAUGUCCACUUCAUGACUUUGGGAUUCAUCCUGUGACCUGCUUUGACCAACAGAGUGAGUCACAAGUGGCAGUGCACCGCUGAGACUAGGCUUAAGAGACCCUGCAUGUUGCUGCUUGCUCUCUCCCACUUCUGCCACCACCAUGAUGUACACACUCCUCCUGGCCUGCUGCCUCCCAAAGGAAAAUGAGAGCCGGGAUCACCUGACCUCCAGCUAAUUAACAAAUGGAUGCAGAAGCCCAGCUGAGAUCAGCAGGGUCUCCAGCAGACAGCUCCUAAGCCUGAGGGUCUGCAAGCUGCAGGAAGACGAGACCGCCCGGGGCAGGCUGCAAGCCGUGAUUCUUGCCACGAACCCCGCUGCUGCUGUUGUGGAAUCUGGCUUCCCCCACCGCGCUGCAGCACGGACAUUUAGGACCACUGGCAUUCAUUGGUGAUGCCUGAGAAAUUCAUAUUCUGGUCGAAGGAGAAAAUGAAGAAAGAUGGGUCAAUAAGCAUCAGAAAAGUGAAAGAAACAACCCAAACAAAAGGCUGAUUCUCAUGGCUACAGACAGAGCUAAAAUUAAGUGGGAAUUGGAAGAACAGAGGAGAAAAACUGGAUUUUUGCCACCAAUCUUCAUCCUUCCCUAACCCUGAAGACCAUUUUUCAAGACUGUGGCAAUAUAGGUCUCCUUAGAAAUAACUGAUGAGAUAGAGGAACAAAGAAUACAAGCCAAAUGUCCUGUAAAUCUCGGAGCAGAAGCUCUCUGACCCAAGCAGACAUUGUUAUGACAUCCUGUACGAGGAUUCAUAAAAUUCCCAAAGGUAACCACAUAUUUCAGGCCAAGGAUACCUCUGGAAACAUUUGUCAUUUGUUCAGCUUUUAAGAAUGGCUUUGUGUUAGAUUUGCAUGAAUGGCAUUGAAUAUUAUAGUUUUGGUAAAUGACCUAAUUGUCGAGAGUAACAUAAUGUAAAUGGUUUGUUUCAAAAUAACAUUUUUCUGUACCUUAGUAGCUUCUUAAACCUUCAGCAAUGUUAAUAAUUCGAUUUGGAGACAUGUCUGACUGGGAGAGAAUUCUAUCUCCCAUGAGUCACUUCAGUCACCUUCCUAGUUGAUGGGGCAAAAGUACCCAUUUCAAAAGUGAGUGUAGAAGCACAGCAGAGUGAAUGAAGAGCUGGACGAGGAAGCUGAAGACUGGAUGCUAAGUCUUGGCUCUGUCACUUAGCAUAUAUGUGAUACUGGCUGAGUUAUAAGUAGCUGUUCUGAUCCUCAGUGUCAGAACUUGUAUUUAUGAUUCUCCCUACCUGACCUGCCUCCUCAGGAAUAAGAUCAUGAACAUGAAAUCUCAUUAUACUCCAAGAUGCCAAACACGUUUGAGAUGUUACACUCAAGUAUCUAGGUAAAGGUCAAAGAACUCGAGAAUGAUGUCAUUCAGAAACAGGAUUUGGAAGGAUAAUGGCUAUGAAAAUAACAAGAUGAGAGAAUGGUGAUUGGAAGGGAAGAAGAAGCACUUACAAUAUUAGCAGAAUCAGAAGUCCUAAAGUGAAAAUCUGCAACUAGGAGGAAAGAAAGACGAGAAUGCUGGAACCACUUGUGACUUUUGUUCCUUUGGCUAAGAACUACAGUGUGUUUUUUAAGUGAAGUCUGCCGUUGCUUAAGACUGUCAAUGAAUGAGCCCGGGAAGAGCUAUCCUAAAAAGGCUUUAUUGGCUGACUGUUCUGGAAUGGUGAUCAAUUAAAAAUAUUUUUACCUGUGCCCUUGACUAAGACAGUUUUGCUGAGCCUAGAUGUUGUAGCCAAGAAGAAAAAGCAGGGCUUCCCUGGUGGCGCAGUGGUUGAGAGUCCGCCUGCCGAC